rnacentral:rRNA from 1 species
AGUGAACGCUGGCGGUAGGCCUAACACAUGCAAGUCGAACGGCAGCACAGUAAGAGCUUGCUCUUACGGGUGGCGAGUGGCGGACGGGUGAGGAAUACAUCGGAAUCUACUUUUUCGUGGGGGAUAACGUAGGGAAACUUACGCUAAUACCGCAUACGACCUACGGGUGAAAGCAGGGGAUCUUCGGACCUUGCGCGAUUGAAUGAGCCGAUGUCGGAUUAGCUAGUUGGCGGGGUAAAGGCCCACCAAGGCGACGAUCCGUAGCUGGUCUGAGAGGAUGAUCAGCCACACUGGAACUGAGACACGGUCCAGACUCCUACGGGAGGCAGCAGUGGGGAAUAUUAGACAAUGGGCGCAAGCCUGAUCCAGCCAUACCGCGUGAGUGAAGAAGGCCUUCGGGUUGUAAAGCCCUUUUGUUGGGAAAGAAAAGCAGCAGGUUAAUACCCCGCUGUUCUGACGGUACCCAAAGAAUAAGCACCGGCUAACUUCGUG